rnacentral:lncRNA from 1 species
UCGCGGUUGGUUGUUCCUCUCUCUCUCUCUCUCCCCGUCGCGCGCUUGUGUUGUUCUGCUCUUGUUCGUCCCAGAUCUAGGUCAGUUCAUGUCGCCCUCUUGCGCAUGUGGUGCAGCCGCUAGAUUGCUAGGCUUCUGGUUGUUGUGGUCGUCCCGCGCGCGCUGCUGUUUGUACUGUUGUAGUUUGUAGAUGCAGCGGCUUUGUCCCCCUUUUGUCUGUGGAGAUGUAGCUGUUCAUGUAGAUGAGAGGGCAAUCUGUAGAUGUUCCUGUAGGCGCGAGGGAUUCUGUAGAUGUUUCUGUAGAUGUUCCUGUAGGUGCUCAUGUUCCUGUAGGUGAGAGGGCGAUCUGUAGGUGCUCAUGUACUUGUAGCUGCUCAUGUUCCUGUAGCUGAUGGGGAUUCUGUAGAUGUAGCUUGGCGGAUGUCUGUAGUUGUAGCAUGCGGGAUGUUGUAGAUGUACUGGUAGAUGUCUAGCUCGUUCCUGCUCGUGUCGGGAUGCUCCCUGAUGCUUCUGCGUGUUUUCCUGCUCUUGCCCCUGCUCAUGUACUGGUAGAUGCUAGGUGCUCGUGUCAAGCUCUUUUUUUGUAUUCAAAUGAAUUAGGCUCCUGAUUUGUUGUUGGAGGUGUAGUUCUCCUUUGUACCGUGUUUGUUUUUCUUCUAGCAGGAAUGAAUUUUAAGUUUAAUUUCUGUGUACUUUUGGCUCGGCCCUUUUCAGUGUUGUCAAUUGUUUGAUCAGACCUUUUCAGUGUCGUCACAGACUUCCAGUGUAAUAUCAGUUUUGUAGUCUUACAGGGGUAAUUUCUCCCAGUUUGUAUAGUGUAAUUAACCCUGAAUUUCUAGGGUGAUUUUUUAUUGUAAUUGCAGUGUAGUUUUAUGUGUAAUUUUCCCAAAUUUUCAUUGUAACUUUAUGUCAGUUUUACUGUGUAAUUCAUCUCAGAUUUACAGACUUUAAGUGUAUUUUAGCCGUUUUAAUUCCACUGUGAUUUUAUCUCAUUUGUUGCAUUGUAAUGUAAUUUGUCUCAGUCUUGCAGCAUAACCUGUCCCAGAUUUUAUGUGUAAUUUGAGUGGAUUUUCUCACAGUGUAGUUCAUCCCAGCAUUUCGUACUUUUAAGU